rnacentral:rRNA from 1 species
ACUCCUACGGGAGGCAGCAGUAGGGAAUCUUCCACAAUGGGCGCAAGCCUGAUGGAGCAACACCGCGUGAGUGAAGAAGGGUUUCGGCUCGUAAAGCUCUGUUGUUAAAGAAGAACACGUAUGAGAGUAACUGUUCAUACGUUGACGGUAUUUAACCAGAAAGUCACGGCUAACUACGUGCCAGCAGCCGCGGUAAUACGUAGGUGGCAAGCGUUAUCCGGAUUUAUUGGGCGUAAAGAGAGUGCAGGCGGUUUUCUAAGUCUGAUGUGAAAGCCCUCGGCUUAACCGGAGAAGUGCAUCGGAAACUGGAUAACUUGAGUGCAGAAGAGGGUAGUGGAACUCCAUGUGUAGCGGUGGAAUGCGUAGAUAUAUGGAAGAACACCAGUGGCGAAGGCGGCUACCUGGUCUGCAACUGACGCUGAGACUCGAAAGCAUGGGUAGCGAACAGGAUUAGAUACCCUGGUAGGAUAGCG